AUACGGAGGAUCCUAGUGUUAUCCGGAUUUAUUGGGUUUAAAGGGAGCGUAGGCGGGAGGUCAAGUCAGCUGUGAAAUGUAUCUGCUUAACGGGUACACUGCAGUUGAAACUGGUUUUCUUGAGUGCGUAAGAGGCAGGCGGAAUUCGUUGUGUAGCGGUGAAAUGCUUAGAUAUGACGAGGAACUCCUAUUGCGAAGGCAGCUUGCUGGGUCGUUACUGACGCUGAUGCUCGAAGGUGCGGGGAUCAAACAGGGUUAGAUACCCUGGUAGUCCGCACAGUAAACUAUGGAUACUCUCUGCCGGCGAUAUAUUGUCGGUGGCCAAGCGAAAGCGUUAAGUAUCCCACCUGGGGAGUACGUUCGCAAGAAUGAAACUUAAAGGAAUUGACGGGG
rnacentral:rRNA from 1 species